GAUAACCAUAACAUAUAUUAUUCAACAGGCUACGGGUUUUCAGCGGUUCGUUUUGCCCCAAUGCGCAGUUAUUACUAGUCUCAAGCUUCCUUCGUCCUGACACCCGGAUAAGGCUAAUUAGUCUAGCCAGUGCCAUUGAUCGAAGAGUUGAAGCGGACAUCAAGGGCCGGAACCCUAAAGGUCAAUAACUGCAAAUAGAAAAGAAAAAAUCUGUUCCCAUCGCUUAGCACCUGUCUUACAACUUGCGCCGGUGACGGCGCGUGUGUACUUUCUCGCACCGAGCCUCUCGAUUCAAACGGGAACAGUGUCUCGAUCGAAUGGUCCCGUGGCGGUCCUCGAAGCUCUGCUUCUCUCUCCAACACCAAGAAAAGGGCUCCUCCUCCACCUUCUGCUGCCCGGUCGCUCCUUGCCAGGUUUCUUCCGGCUUUCUGGCUCCCAAGUACUGCUGUUCUGGCCGAUUUGACCAACAGUCUUUCGCCCGUCUUCCGAUCGACAAGUCGUGCAGUCUCGAGUUCAAACAUUGCAGAAGUGUCGCUUUGAUUCUAACUGGCUAGAUUAUCGUGGCCUUCGUGUUUUUGGUUCGUUUUCUUCUUCGCCAUUAAUACGACAUAAAGUGUUAUUACAUCAUCUGAAGAUUUAACGGACAACCAUGGCGCGGAGCAGUUUCUCCUUCCUGUUCCUGUCCACUCUGAUGCUGAUUCAUUCCGUUACUAGCUGCGGGUAUCCCGGUUCGCCAUCUCACGCUGUCGUAACCUUCACGCCGGACAACAUCAGACCCGGAACGGUAGCAACUUAUGAAUGUGAGCCCGGCUUUGAGCUUCUUGGUCCGUCUCGACGACUUUGCUCAACCAACGGCACUUGGACACCAGCUGGCAUACCUUUCUGUGUUUUGAACGUGGCGGCUGGUAAGGCGCCAAUGCAAUCUAGUGUCGCUGGAGGCGGUGUUCCCGAGCGAGCUGUCGAUGGUAGCACCAGCAAUUUCUUCACGCCGGAAACAUGCAGCUUGACCGAAGUGGAGCGUGCACCCUGGUGGUACGUCAACCUUCUUGAGCCUUACAUGGUCCAGCUGGUGCGACUAGACUUUGGCAAACCCUGCUGUGAAGAUGGUAAGCCUGCCACGAUCGUUGUCAGAGUAGGCAACAGCAGGCCUGAUAUGGGAGUCAAUGCCGUCUGUAACCGCUUCACUGGAUUCAUUGAAGAGGGCCGUCCACUCUUUUUACCGUGCAAUCCUCCAAUGGCUGGCGCUUUUGUUAGCGUUCACUUGGAAGGUCCAGCGGGCAAUAGCCUCUCUAUCUGCGAAGCUUUUGUCUACACCGAUCAGGCGUUGCCCAUUGAAAGGUGCCCACAAUUCCGCGACCAGGAGCCCGGCAGCAGCGCCACAUACAACGGCAAGUGUUACCUGUUUCACGACAACCAGCCGCUCAAUUUCAACGAGGCCCGCCAAUUCUGCGAAGCUCGCGGCGGAUCACUGAUUGAUGAAACCAAUCCAGCCCUACAGGGAUUCGUCAGUUGGGAAUUAUGGAGACGUCACAGCCGCAACGAUCCAAGUGGACAAUAUUGGUUGGGACUUAUGCGCGAUACAACCGAUCGUUCGAAUUGGAAAUGGCUUUCGGGGAAAGAUGUGAGCGUCUCGUUCUGGAAUUUACCUGGCGGCGGAGAGAACUGCGCUCGCUACGACGGAACCAAAGGCUGGCUGUGGUCAGAUACCAAUUGCAACCGCAAACUCUUCUUCAUUUGCCAACACCGUCCGAAAUCGUGCGGUCGACCUGAACAACCGGCUAACGGGACUGUGAUCGCUGAUAAUUUUAACGUGGGCAAUCGAGUGGAGUACCGCUGCGACCCGGGUCACAUGGCCGUCGGUCCAACCUUCAGGACUUGUCUCUCAUCCGGUUUCUUCGGCGAAUAUCCGCCCGUAUGCAAAUAUGUUCAAUGCGGGAUGCCGGCCAGAAUUCCCAACGGCGGUUACGUAUUGGUCAACGACACGCGUCACUAUCUGAGCAUGACCUCAUACUCUUGCAACGACGGCUACCAAAUCAUCGGUCGUGGAGAUCUGGUCUGUGAUAUCGACGGUCGCUGGAACGGACCUCCACCUCGUUGCGAACCCGUGUAUUGUCUCGAACCACCCAUCAUCAACAACGGCGGUUUCCGGCUCUCGACCAACUCAACCGUAGCCGGCACGGCGGUGGAAUACUAUUGCUUGAGCAACUCACGCUAUCGUAUGUCAGGCCCGAGCCGCAUCGUCUGUCAGUCGGACGGCCAUUACGACCGAGACCCACCGGUUUGCAUAGACGGGGGAGACGAGGACGCUCGGCAGCCGGAAAAGAAUGUGGUGCCGGUCGAUCGUAAAAUUGAUCAACCACUCCAAUCUCACGAGACCGAGUACGUUGAUGAUUACGAAUACUACGACGAGACGAGCCAGGAGGGUUUCAUCCCGCCUAAUUUUGCCAACAAAUUCAACCCAACCACUAAAAUCAGCACUACACUUGCGCCCACUACCACCAGCGUGAGGCCCGUUAAGACUUCGAGCACCACAGUAUUUAGUACGACUAGCACUACGACACCGGCACCGACCACCAGGAGCACUUCUUACGCCACUGCUCGCGCAACAAAGGCCACGAAAGUGGAGAGUACGGUUCGUUCGACUACUACGGUACGAUCGAGAAGCACUACGCCCAUUUCUAUGCCGACUGUACCUACUCGGAGACCAUUCGACCCGACACGAUUGACCAAGCUUAACAACAGACCCACUGGCACCAGCAAUAGCCGGGCAGGCGUCUUUAACAAUGACAACAACAGAGUUAAACCCGACGUUGCACUUAAUGUUCCCAACGGCCCUGUCUAUCUGUCUCCUCAAGAUAACGAGAUUGCCGACAGUUCCAAUGUCAAGAACAACGUGCCACCCAAUGUCAACGAGCCACAGAACACGGUCGAGUCCGAAAGCCAAGGAUUCACGCCCAAACUUAAUCUAGGUGGUAUAAUUGCGCUGGGAGUCUUUGGAGGUUUCGUCUUCCUAUCGGCCAUCAUAACCACCUUUGUCAUCGUCCUCCGCCGUCUGCGACUACGGGGUGAGCCGAUAUCGCGAACGAUCGAGAGCCAAACUUCUUCACGUUGGCUCGCCUUGCCUUUCCCGGACCAGACAGUCGGACGCGUUGACAAGUCUCUCUCGUCCAAAUGCGGACCAAAAGCCGGACAAUUUUCUGACGAAAAAUCACCCAUUGCUACCACCGUUGCUGCAUCAGAAUCCUAAAUUCUAUUACCUUAUUAUACUCAACCAGAAGCCAUAAACCCACUUUUAUCUCUCUUUUCCUUAUCGUCAUUUCCCAUCCAACAACCAUAUACGCCUCUUAUAUAUCCUGCGCCUUGUUUCCUCGACAACCAAAAUCCCAAUCUGCUCCCUUGCUAUCAUCCUGAAAACGUAUCCUAACAGAAGACGACUGACGCUCUCUACUCAAUAUUAUCCUCUUCGUCAACUAGUCGAUUUCCAGGCAUACGUAACGAUAAACGCUAUCGACGACGAGGGGCGUCCAGUGAGACCCAAACAGCUGCUACAUUCGAUUCUUCCAGCGUCGAUGGAGGAGCCGGAGGAACAGGAGGUGCUGGCCUGAGCAAAUCUUACCGUCAGGCCUGGGAUAACUUACGCGAUCCUGAACAACCGAAGCGCAGCAAGAGUCAUCACCAUCACG
rnacentral:misc_RNA from 1 species